CCUACGGGUGGCUGCAGUGGGGAAUAUUGGACAAUGGGGGGAACCCUGAUCCAGCCAUGUCGCGUGUGUGAAGAAGGCCCUCGGGUUGUAAAGCACUUUCAGUGAGGAAGAACGCCUGGUGGUUAAUACCCAUCAGGAAAGACAUCACUCACAGAAGAAGCACCGGCUAACUCCGUGCCAGCAGCCGCGGUAAUACGGAGGGUGCGAGCGUUAAUCGGAAUUACUGGGCGUAAAGCGCGCGUAGGUGGCUUGAUAAGCCGGUUGUGAAAGCCCCGGGCUCAACCUGGGAACGGCAUCCGGAACUGUCAAGCUAGAGUGCAGGAGAGGAAGGUAGAAUUCCCGGUGUAGCGGUGAAAUGCGUAGAGAUCGGGAGGAAUACCAGUGGCGAAGGCGGCCUUCUGGACUGACACUGACACUGAGGUGCGAAAGCGUGGGUAGCAAACAGGAUUAGAUACCCGGGUAGUC
rnacentral:rRNA from 1 species